rnacentral:lncRNA from 1 species
UAGCACAGUAAAAACCGUCGCUAUAGGAUCUAUAGCGACACUUUUGUUGUGAAAAUAACAUUUUCUGUUGUGGAUUUAACAAUUCUCUAUAUUUUAUUCUUUCCAUAUUGGUAUUAUUUCCUUAUUAUAUUUAUUUAUUUAUUACAACACCUCCUAACCUAACGAAUUGCAUGCAAGCAUGCAUAUCAACCAGUAUUCGGACAGGCUUUUCCCUCGGGUCACAAUGUCAAAUUCCAAGGUGUUCAACUAAUAUUGGGCUAUUGGAAAUCACCCUUGCUACUAUUGUGUUUGUGUAGCGGUAGUUAUUAUGAUUUUAAAAUAAUUAAUAAUUUUGGUUGCAGGAUAUAUUAUUCUAUACUAGUAGUAAUUUAUUUGUGCAAACAAAGCAUGUGAGAAUAGAGUCUAAAUUAAUUUUAUUCCAACUAGAAAGAAAGAAAGUACUCCUAUUUGUUAGAUUCACCAACCAAAUGCAACUUCCUACUCUUCACUUUAAUUGAGUGUCAAAUCUUUCAUAUAUUAUUAAAUUAAUAUAUACUGCCUCCACAACACACAAAUUACUUACUUUCAAUAAUUCAUCACUAG